AUGGCAGUGGUGAGUACCUCUUCGGCUCUCCGCCUCCUGCCUCUCCUCCUCCCCAUUGCCAUCAUAUGCCCAGCCGCUAUUCCGGUUGGAGCUCGUGAGAAGCUCGAUCAGGGUGGGAAGAUGCCCACUUGUGUGACGGUCGGUCCCAUGCCUGCACCCCCGCCCAAGGUAACACCUAUGACUCCAAGUGUUGUGCCUACACCAACAGCCAAGGUAACACCUACGGGCUACGGCCGCAAGUGCUCUGCCUGCAACUAUUGGCCCAACAACCAUGAAAGUGAAAUACGGCUUCAUUUUUCUUUCCAUCUUGUUCCUCAUCAAUUACGUAAACGAAGAUCACAACGACAUCAUGAGAUGGAGGAGGAAGAGUUUGGGGAGCUACAAGGAACACCAAUGAAGUUCACAUUUCAACAGUUAAAAGCAGCAACUGAGCAAUUCGCAAACAAGCUUGGGGAAGGAGGAUUUGGAUCUGCUUUCAAGGGACAGCUAGCUGAUGAAAGGAUUGCAGUAAAACGUUUAGAUCGAGCGGGUCAGGGCAAAAGGGAAUUUUCUGCAAAGGUUCAGACAAUUGGCAGCAUUCAUCAUAUUAAUCUGGAGUGCAUGAAAAAGAUUGCCCAUUUGGAUGUCAAACCACAAAACAUCCUCUUAGAUAAUGACUUCAAUGCUAAACUUUCUGACUUUGGACUAUGCAAGCUCAUUGACAGGGAUAUGAGUCAAGUGUUUACCAGAAUGAGAGGCACACCUGGAUAUUUAGCUCCUGAAUGGUUGACAUCGCAGAUCACGGAAAAGGCCGAUGUCUAUAGCUUUGGUGUUGUGGUCAUGGAAGUCAUCAGUGGAAGAAAGAACCUCGACAAUUCUCGAUCCGAAGAGAGCAUCCAUCUCAUCAUGCAAUUGCAGGAAAAAGCACAUAAGCAGGAUGUAAUUGAAAUGAUGAAGCUCGCAAUGUGGUGUUUGCAGAUUGAUUGCAGAAGAAGGCCUAAAAUGUCUGAGGUAGUCAAGGUCUUGGAAGGCGCCAUGAAUGCAGAGAGCAACAUUGAUCAUAACUUUGUUGCAACAAAUCAAGUGUAUUUCGGCGCUGAUGGAAAUGUGGUCUCCUUGGUUCCACCUCUAGCUUUACAUGUAUCAGGUCCCAGUCUGUUUUCAGAUCAAUUAAUGCAGAUGGAAGUCAAUCAUGGUAUGCUGCUCAUCGAUCUCUACUACUAUGACCAUGAGAAUCCCCCUAUUUACCAGGCUAUAUGGCAUCAAUUUCAUGAGAAUUUGACUAUUAAUAGAACUAGUCGGAAGUUGUUGCAUACCACUCAUGUGACUCAACCGUGCAGUGGAUUAGCUGAAUUCCCUCGGCAAGUUGUUCGUCAAUCUCCAGUGGAUCUCCUCAAUUCCACCUCUGGCCUCACAUAUAUUAGGCCCAAGGUGAAAUGA
rnacentral:rRNA from 1 species